rnacentral:rRNA from 1 species
CCGCGGUAAUACGGAGGAUGCAAGCGUUAUCCGGAUUUAUUGGGUUUAAAGGGUGCGUAGGCGGGCCAGUAAGUCAGUGGUGAAAUCCUGCAGCUUAACUGUAGAAUUGCCAUUGAUACUGUUGGCCUUGAGUGCAGUUGCGGUAGGCGGAAUGUGUAAUGUAGCGGUGAAAUGCUUAGAUAUUACACAGAACACCGAUUGCGUAGGCAGCUUACUAAACUGCUACUGACGCUGAGGCACGAAAGCGUGGGGAGCGAACAGGAUUAGAUACCCUGGUAGUCCACGCUGUAAACGAUGAUCACUCGUUGUUGGCCG